CACGCUUCCGUUGGUUACGUGGCCCAACAGACGUCGGUAGUUAAGGUUGAUUAUGGCUCAGUUUGAACGCUGGCGGGAUGCUUUACACAUGCAGGUCGAACGGCAGCACGGACUUCGGUCUGGUGGCGGUGGCGAACAGGUGAGUAAUGUAUCGGAACGUUACUGGUAGCAGGGGAUAACGCGAAAGCGUAGCUAAUACCACAUACGCCCUUCGGGGAAAGCGGGGGACCUUUGGGCCUCGCACUAAUGAAGCGGCCGAUAUCGGAUACAGCUAGUUGGUGGAGUAACGGCUCACCAAGGCGACGAUCCGUAGCUGGUUUGAGAGGACGACCAGCCACACUGGGACUGAGACACGGCCCAGACUCUACGGGAGGCAGCAGUGGGGAAUUUUGGACAAUGGGAAACCUGAUCCCAGCCAUCCCGCGUGUUGCGAUGAAGGCCUUCGGGUUGUAAACGCACUUUUGGCAGGAAAGAAACGGCGCAGGGAUCAUACCCCGAUGCAGCUGACGGUACCUGCAGAAUAAGCACCGGCUAACCACGUGCCAGCAGCGCGAUGACUACGUGGUGCAAGCGUUAAUCAGGUUACUGGGCGUAAAGCGUGCGCAGGCGGUUCGGAAGAAAGAUGUGAAAUCCCAGAGCUUAACUGGAACUGCAUUUUUAACUACCGAGCUAGAGUGUGUCAGAGGGAGGCGGAAUUCCGCGUGUAGCGGUGAAAUGCGUAGAUAUGCGGAGGAACACACCAUUGGCGAAGGCAGCCUCCUGGGAUAACACUGACGCUCGUACCUGCACGAAAGCGUGGGGAGCAAACAGGAUUAGAUACCCUGGUAGUCCACCUAAACGAUGUCAGCAGCUGUUGGGGCCUUCGGGCCUUGGUAGCGCAGCUAACGAUGAAGUUGACCACGCCUGGGAAAUACGGUCGCAAGAUUAGAAACUCACCAAAGGAAUUGACGAGGGACCCACGCACAAGCGGUGGAUGAUGGAUUAAUUCGAUGCAACGCGAAAAACCUUGCCUACCCUUGACGCUGUCUGGAAUCCCGAAGAGAUUUGGGGAGUGCUCGCAAGAGAACCGGAACACAGGUGCUGCAUGGCUGUCGUCCAGCUCGUCGUGAGAUGUUGCAGGUUCGUCCGCAACGAGCGCAACCCUUGUCGUUAGUUGCUACGAAGGGCACUCUAAGCGGGACUGCCGGUACAACAAACCGGAGGAAGGUGGGGAUAUGGCAUCCAAGUCCUCAUGGCCCUUAUGGGUAGGGCUUCACACGUCAUACAAUGGUCAAGGACAGAGGGUGCCGACCGCCCGCGAGAGAACCAAUCUGACCCGAUCGUAGUCCGGAUCGCAGUCUGCAACUCGACUGCGUAGAGUCGGAAUCGCUAGUAAUCGCGGAUCGGCAUGUCGCGGUGAAUACGUUCAGGUCUUGUACCGCCCGUCACACCAUGGGAGUGGGUUUUACCAGAAGUGGUUAGCUAACCGUAAGGAGGCGAUUACUGCAUUAAGUUCAUGACUGGGGUGAAGUCGUAACAAGGUAA
rnacentral:rRNA from 1 species